GCAAAAACCAUUCUGCUAUUAGGGAGGAGGGAGGAGAAACAACACAGGAAAACCCCAUGGUCGGGGAAAGGAAGCAACUAAAAUGGCUAGAUAAGGGGAAUAUGAAUUUGUAUAAAUCCCAGACAACCACUCCUGCUUUUUAAAAGUUUGGAAUUAUUUAAAGGUGAUGAGAAAAAUGAUAACACAGAGAAGAGUAAGGAAACAGAAUACAGAUGAGAGAUAAAACAAAAUUUCUACCCAGCUAUUAUUCAUAAUAUAAGAUGGUCUAGGAACAAGCAAGACAAAGAAUUAGGAGAGCAGCCUACAGAAUAAAGACUCUGGUUGAGAAUGACUGGGAUCAAAAACAAGAGCGUAGCAAGAACCAGCUCUAAAUAUAUUUUGGCCUUUCGUUGCGAUCUGACGACGUUUCAGUGUUGUAUGAACAUCAAAAAGAAGAGAACUGAGUUCCUGUUCUCUAAGGAGUGCUGAAAAGCUCACCAGAAAAGGAAUUGAAGAAUCUCUAUGACUGAUGAGAUCUCUUUCAAGUGACUUCUCCUCAAGCUUCUCUUCCUGCUCUGAACUGAACCUGCCCUGCUGAACACAAGGACGUGCAUGGCUAUUAGGCAUAUGCUAUGACUCCUUCAAAGGAACAAGACCCAUCUGACUCAGAGACUAACAAGAAGCAAUUUGUUGCAGAUAAUGGAUCUUUUGUAACCAGUUUCCUAUCCCUGGAAAAAUGUAGCAAAGAGAUGUCACGUCUAUGGUUGUCAAACUAUACAAUUAGAAGUAGUUUGUAUAAAUACCAGUGAUCCUUUUUUAUAUUGUCAUCUAAAAGAUAUUCAUAAACUGUGCAAAGACUUGCUUGUUAAUAAAAACAACAGGAUUGGGGGAAGUCAAAGUCUGGGCAUACUACUAUAUGAUAUUCUCAUUAAUCCUAUGGGCAUUUUUUUUUAAACUGUAUCUCUUUUGUAUCUCUUUGUUUUUAAUAUUGUCUUAGGUUACCUAAGUCUGUUUUUCAACAACCAUCUAGCAACCUGUAAGUAAAGUAACUACUUAGAAGAAAAACAAAGAAGAAAAGCUCUUUUUCAAAAUAUAACCACAGCUAUUAAAGAUGUAAUGGGAUUGUAAAAAAGAAAAAACUCUUUUAGAAAGAAUGAAAGGCUAAUAUGUAAUCUCUCAACAGGGUUAAAAUUCUGUGUUGUCAUAAUUACGUUC